AAAAUUUUAAAAAAUUUUGCGAAUUAAACAAGGCCUAAAAACUUUCACCCAACAACUUCUAAUGCCGAUCAGUUUGGCAUAGUUUGUAUUUAUGGUGAUCUCGUCAUGUAGCACCUCUUGAUGUAGGUUGCUAUCUUUUGUUGUAAAUCAUAGAAACCCGAUGGAUCACGCAAUAUAAAGUCUGCUCACCAACACGACACUAGUUUAUUCUGCAUUUCCAUAUGUGAUGACGGCACUCUCCAGCAAUUAAUUACUAUAGGAUCUAGUACGGGUGGAAGUGGAAAGAUCUUUGCACAUAGCUACCGCAGCAACAUCCGCAGCUUAGCAGCAGGAGGAGCAUCAAUCACGAAGCGUGAUCUAGAGUAGCGAGCUAGCUACUCCUCCGUUAGUCCUGCUUGACGCCGGAGUUGUCCUUGGCCUCCUUCGCAGGGAUCUCGUGCACCACCUUGACGGGCUUGAGCACGCCUUCCUCGUCGGGCUGCCCCGCCGACGACCGCACCUCCACCGUCUGCACCGUCUUCGUCACCGUCUCCUGCGCCGGCUUCUUAUCCGCAGCGUCCUUCUAUACAUGCCGCAUAUACCGACCAAUAAGAUCAAAAAACAGAUCAUUCCCAAUCAAACGAUAAGCUGUCGAUUACCGUGGUUGCGUACAGCGUGCUUACCUGCUGGGACACGGCGUUGGUGGUGGUGGUCGACAUGCCGCGCGCGGCCGAUCGAGCUAGCUGCAGCCGGC
rnacentral:lncRNA from 1 species